rnacentral:lncRNA from 1 species
AUUUUUUUAAUGAUUAAUUUAUGUAAUAAUAUAAUAAUAUUAUUAGAUUAUUUAUUUGGUAGUUGAAUUUUUUUAUAGUAUAAAAAAUAUAUGUUUUGAUUUCGAAUGCAUUUUGAUAAUAUAUAAAGGAUAUAUAAGUUUGUUUUAUAUUUUUUACUAUAAUUUUUUUUAAUUUUAAAAUUUUAAAAAUUAUAUAUUUUAAUUUACUGAAAUAUUAUCUACCCACCGUGAAGCGCGGGCCCUAUACCAGUAUAUAUAAGGUGA